AGCCGAAACGCGGGCCAGCGGCCCGCGUCGUGUCGGGGUGUUUCCCGGCGCCUGACGAUGGCAGACACCA
rnacentral:hammerhead_ribozyme from 1 species